AUUUCAUAAUGUGGACAUCUCCAUUGAAGAUCCUUAUAUCUCAUCCAUGCUUCAUAAAGACUUUCAUCAUCUCUUAGUCGAAAAGAAGUUAGCUCAUUGCUCAAUUU